GAUGAACGCUGGCGGCGUGCCUAAUACAUGCAAGUCGAGCGAACGGACGAGAAGCUUGCUUCUCUGAUGUUAGCGGCGGACGGGUGAGUAACACGUGGAUAACCUACCUAUAAGACUGGGAUAACUUCGGGAAACCGGAGCUAAUACCGGAUAAUAUUUUGAACCGCAUGGUUCAAAAGUAAAAGACGGUCUUGCUGUCACUUAUAGAUGGAUCCGCGCUGCAUUAGCUAGUUGGUAAGGUAACGGCUUACCAAGGCAACGAUGCAUAGCCGACAUGAGAGGGUGAUCGGCCACACUGGAACUGAGACACGGUCCAGACUCCUACGGGAGGCAGCAGUAGGGAAUCUUCCGCAAUGGGCGAAAGCCUGACGGAGCAACGCCGCGUGAGUGAUGAAGGUCUUCGGAUCGUAAAGCUCUGUUAUUAGGGAAGAACAUAUGUGUAAGUAACUGUGCACAUCUUGACGGUACCUAAUCAGAAAGCCACGGCUAACUACGUG
rnacentral:rRNA from 1 species